CGGGAGCAGCGGCGAAGGAUUGGCUGUAGUGAUCAGCAGCACAGUGCGGAUUGCUAGGGUGCACUCAAAUAUUGUGUGGUGUACUCAGAUGGCAAGGACACACAGAAAACCUCCAGGAUUGAUUCACUGGCCAUAGAUUCACGCUGUACAACAUCAGCAAGGUCAGACUUUAUCUGACAGAGUAUGCAGCACAACAUCUAGUCCAGGCUUUGGUCUUGUCAUGUCUGGACUGCUGGAACUCGCUUAUGGCAGGAGUACCUGCAUGUCCUAUCAAGUCACCGCAGAUUGUCCAGAAUUCAACGGCCCAUCUUUUAAUUAACUAGCUGAGAUGAGCACAUGUCAAUCUUCUCUGCAGGUUGCUACAUUGGCUCCCUGUAGCAGCACACAAUAAAUUAAAAUCCCUGAUGCUUGCCUACGGAAUUGGCAAUGGGUCAGCACCUGAGUAUAUGGAAACACUGAUGAAAUCCUACACUCUCUCUCGCCCACUCAGGUCUGCCAGGGAACAGCAUCUGGUGAUGCCGCCUCUGCGUGGUAUCAAGUCUCAAUCCAGAUUCUUUCACUGUUUAGUUCCUAGUUGGUGGAUGGGCUA